AAGUGCUCAAUGCAAGCCAUGGAUGAGAGGAAAUGAAUUGAUUUUCCUAUCUCUUUAAUGGCCUGCCAGAUUAUGCUAAAAGAAGAAGAGUGACACCGAGGACAGGGAAAGAUUCAGAGUGCUCAAAGGAAAGGUAAGGAACCAAGAGGGACCAUGCAGAAGGCGGGAGCAAGAGUCAGAAGGAGCAGAGAAGAGAGAAGAAAACAACAACAACAACCCAGGGGGCUGGGGAGAUGGCUCAGCAGUUGAGAUCACCAGGUACUCUUCCAGAGGACCCUGGUUCAGUUCCCAGCAGCCACAUGGAAGCUCACAAGGGUCUGCAACUCCUGCUCCAGGGGAUCUGACCCCUCCCACAGGCAGACAAACAUGCCUGCAAAGCAUCAAUGUACAUGAAAUAAAAAUAAGUUAUAAAAAUAAGAGAGAGAGAGAGACUCAAAAUAAAGGGACUGUUUGAAAACUAAAUAUAGCAUUUGCCAUAAAUGAAGAAACUUUGCAAAAUGUAGUGACUCUGGCCUUUAUACAAAAAUUGAGAAACUGAGGCAGGAGAGUUGCAAAAUGAAUAUUUCAAGUUUAUCCUGAACAUUUUUAAAGGGCUUUUUACAAAAACAAACUGUAAAUAAUACACUAAUACUUAAUUAAACUAUAAACUUUAACUUGUAACAUCUGCAGUUAAUAGUACUAUAGGUUAAAAUAUGAUAGCAUCCGUAGUUACAUGAACGUAUUGUGUAUUUUUGUUUAUCCUGUUGUAUUCUGGGAGUGCUAGGCAAGAUGGCUACCACUAAACCACCCUCCCUAGCAUUUUUGGUUUAUUUUAUUCCAAGCUAUGAAAACAAUUCUUCUACAGGGCUCUGUUUUUAUUUAUAACAAAAGUAAUUUUUGUUUACACUCAGUGUAUUGCUAGGGAAAAUAAUAUCAAUUGAUUGUUUUACCCAUGGAUACAUCUUUCAGUGUGGAUAAGGGAUUCAAGCAACACUGCUUUGCAUUGAACAAAGAAAGAUCAGACUAGGUGAUAGUUCAUAGUAACUCUUAGGUUGGUCACUACAGAGCCACAGACUUCAAUAUUUAUGUCUCUGUUUCACUGUAGCUAUGUUUAACAUAUCCAUAAAAGAUGCUUUGAUUAUUGAAUUGCUGGGCACAUGAGAGUACUGCACCAUACGCUAGACUUCAUGCACCACUGUCCACCUUUCCCUGUCUCUGGAGGCAUCCUGGGUGGCUAAUAAGCAGAGGCCUACGUAAGGAAUGAGACUCUACAGAUGGAUCUGCAUAGCCAUACCAGUUACCUUUCCCUUUAACAAAAUGACUGACCGGAAUCUAGUAAUCAAGCUAGCAUGGGGAAGGGCUUUGGCAUCUUCUAUAAUUCUAUCUGAGGUGUCUUUACUUCCUAGCACCCAGCAAAUAACCUAGGGAAAACUGAGCGCUAAGAUUCUCAUAGGGCACAUAGACCAAUUGAUAAGAAACUGCAGAUCUCACCCUCCUCCUGAUAGCUAAGAGGCACAGGUUUGGAGGUCUGCUGGUGUAGACUACCCUUUGGGGAGAAGAUUCACUUUCCAAAAGUAUAGAUUUUUGCCCCAAUUGAAGAAAAGUGUUUUCUUGAUUGUAUCUAUUCUUUCUUCUCUGUCAUACCCUAAUUCUGGUUGCUGUGUUUCUUCCCUUUCUUUUUUCCUUAGUUCAACUGUCAACAUCUCAGAGAAGCAUUCCUGACCACAAAGGCAUUUGACUUUGCCUUAGGAGUCUCCAAGUUAGACUUUGAUUAUUCUCCAAACCCUCAAAAAACAUUGCAGUAGUUUAUUUAUUUGUUUUCUGUCUGUUACUUUCAGUGGCAUGUAAGCACUGUGCAGGAAUAUUUCAUCGAAAUGAAACAUACUCAGAUUUUACACUGGAAUGAAAUAGCUGGCCUCCCAAACAAAAUAUUAACUGAAUACAUAAAUAAAUGGCUCCAUGGAGGUAGCAAGAAGAAUAGGCAAAUCGGUGUGCAAGCAAGAUGUGAUGGAAAGAGUUUUGAUUGGAAGAGUAGUGUCUAAUAACUUCAUUUUAUUAAUUAAAUUGGCUAAUAAAAUGGAGAAUGAAUAAAAAGAGCCUGUGACACAAAUACUCUAAACUUCUCUUUAAGUUACAUAGAAAAGAUAUUUCUAUUUCAAAUGUCUGAAGUUUCAUACCAAACACCCAUAAAGUAUUUCAGUUCUAUCUGGAGUAAGAAACAGACAAAUGGACCACAUUUUCUUGACAAAGAAACUUCGAAAAUCCAGGGACAAAUGUGCACUAGCAACUUCAAUGUAACCAAAGACUGGAGACUGCUGGCGUUGCCCCUAAGACCAGCUUUGGAUCAGCCACAUGCUAACUCGAGUGGCUACCUACAGCAUUGACUUCACUGCCAGCUUCAUCUUUAAUUAUGAGAAUACUCCUGAACAUUUACAGAAACUUGAACCCACAGCACUGUACAUUUAAUUAUCUAAAAAAUUAGAGAGAAAGAUAAGUGUUAAGAUUCCUCAGAGAAACACAACUAAUAUAUACAUGGAUGGUGCUGUUUAAUGUUGUGUCUCUGACAAAAUUAAUUUUUAAAAUCUAUUAUGCUCUAUGACACAGAGCUGACUUCUCAAUCAAAAUCAUAAGCAGAAUUAGAAUGGUUUAAACUAUAUUUGAAACUGUAUAGAAUUUCUAUCUUUAAAUGUAGGGUUUCUUAAGAUACCAAAAACAAAUGAAAUAUAAAUUGGGAACAGAGUACAUCCUAGAAUAAUUAGUUAUAGUACUAACCUACCAUUUAGCUUCCUUCCCUAUUAGAAAAAAAUAGCUUUUCAUUGAAGUUGCUAUAACCAGUGGCUCUACUCAUUGUUCUAUAUCAUAUUACUAUUCUUCAGACCCUUUGUUAACAAAAAAUAACAUGUUCCCCCAAAACACUCAAUAUACCUAUAGAUUAAGUGAUUGUGGAAGCUCGGUUUUUCCCAAAGCAAGCUUUGGUCAUUAUGAUUCAUUUUUACAUACUAAUUUUCCUAUGCUGUUAACUUCCUUUUUAAAAUUGUUACAAAGCCUCAUACAUUAUAUAUAAUUGUAUCAAAACACAUCAUAUUGCCAUGUAAAUUGGAUUGUCAAGUAAAAUGUAAUAAUCUUUGACCUUACCCCAGCCAUUGACAUCAAUUUUAAAAAAAUAUGCCUACAGGCUUUUAAAUCAUACAACUUCCUAAUAUAAAGAACAUAUCUCUUUAGAAAAUUCCCUGUUACAAGUCUCUUACUACCUGUUUACUGAGUACAAAAUUGUGAUCGCUGUUACUCACUUUUAAAAGCCCAUGCAUAUACAUGUGCACAUAUAUGUUUACAUAUAUAGCCUACAAUUAAGUAUAGUGAUGGUAUUAUUUUG
ensembl:antisense Gm43000 predicted gene 43000